CACGUAGGGCGCAAGCGUUGUCCGGAAUUAUUGGGCGUAAAGAGCUCGUAGGCGGUUUGUCGCGUCGGGAGUGAAAACACCGGGCUUAACUCGGUGCUGGCUUUCGAUACGGGCAGACUAGAGGUAUGCAGGGGAGAACGGAAUUCCUGGUGUAGCGGUGAAAUGCGCAGAUAUCAGGAGGAACACCGGUGGCGAAGGCGGUUCUCUGGGCAUGUCCUGACGCUGAGGAGCGAAAGUGUGGGGAGCGAACAGG
rnacentral:rRNA from 1 species